CCACCAGGGAAGUCCUUUCCAAAAUUUUACUCACCUCACAGGACCACUUAGUUCACUAUCCUUUUUGAGUUCCUAACACCCUCCCUUACUUAAGAAAGGACUCUUAGAUGUUGUAGAAGUUAUCAAGGUGCUGCUCACAUUGCUCACAGUGUAAUAAGAAGCCAUGGGCACAGGAAGAGAGUAGAGUGACAUGGGAAGUCACCUGCCUUUAACACUCAGGAACACUGUUCUGCUUCGCUGGAUGGGAGAGGGAGGAGGAAAAGGGACAGGAAUACAGGCGGGAGGCGAGGACAGGCCCAGACUUUGUUCUUUCAUCCUGAACACUUUUGUAUACAUUUGAUAUCAUCCUUAAAAAAUGAUGAAUUGAAAUUAGCUGGAUUCAAACCUGUCAUCUGCAUCACAGCAUGACUUUUGAGGUUCUCCUUAGCCUCUCUGUGCAUCAGUGUCUUCAUAUGUAAAAUGGCAAUAAUAGAACCUACUUCAUGGACUUAAGAAUCAAAACCAUUUAUAUAUCUCUGUCUGUUUAAAAUCAUUAUAAAAUUAAAUUAUAUAUAAACACACCUGCUUGUGUGUUUUAUAUAAAUAAAAUUUUAAGCACAGGUACAUAUUAUGGCAUCUUGAUACAGCAAGUUUCACUCACUGACGACCAUUAUUAAUAUAAAAGGCAAAGUUUGUUCCAGUACCUACAUUAGAUUUUCAUUCAUGCCAUUUUUUUUAAUAACACAAAGUUUCUCCCUAUUUUUCAAGAAAGGAACCAAAGCUCAGUGAAAAGCCAGGGCCAUGUUGGCGCUGCUAGAAAUGCCACCUACAGGGUUUGGUAGCCCUGUGAUCAGUGUUCCCAUUCUCAGCAGCCCCUCCAGACAAGCCCCCGGUCCUGAUAGAGAAGAGCAGGUGACUUAUGCUCAACAUAAAAGUGCCCUUCUCAGCGCCAGGCAGGGCCACUUUAAUUCCCCUGACUAUAUAACUGAGGUGUAUUUUCCUAUAUUUGUUGACAGAUCAAUGGAAAAAUGCUCUAAGACAUGAUCAAUAUUCACUGCAGCCUUCAAACUGAUUUGCUUUCAGCCUUGCACACAGUUAAUAAACAUUCAGCAAAGUUCCACAUGUCAAGAUAAAAGAUAAUGAAGAAAUGGCAUUUUUCACCUAAAAAAAUAUACUCUAUUGCAUAACUUGUGAGAUACAAAAUCUCUGUGUAAGUUAAGGAGAGAUUUUUUUCCUGUUAUUGUUUUAAGAGUAUAUAAACACUUUUUCAAUAUAUCUGAAACUUAAUAUUGAUGAAUUAAUUUUCCCUGAGAUGAAGUGAUCACUGGCAAAGCAGAUAUUCUCAUCCUGUAUCCAGUUUGAAGGCAGACUUCUAUUGGAGUGGAGUGAAUUUUUUACCUGCUCCAAGAAACUAGGAGAAAGUAUCACCCCUCCCAAAGCAGGAACAUCUCCCCACUCCUCUGCUCCUGAGCAGGAAUGUGGAGCCACUUGGGUCAGUGCUCUGCAUCUCUGCUACAAUUGGGCCCAUUGCACAGAGUUUACCCUCUGCAUCUCUGCAGGCUGAACUCUUGUCUGCAAAUUCAGGACCAGACUUUCUGUAAGGAUAGUGAGGGGACACAGAAGGAGAAAAGAGGUAUAUGUUUUAUUUCUGGGCAAUCUAGGAGAUGUGGCAUAAACACUGAAUCAUUGUCAUUUAAAAAUUUAUAGGCACAGCUAUAAAAAUGCAGAAUUUAAUAGUUAUAAUGGUUUUAAUAUUCCUGGAGGAUGUAGUCCCCAUCCUUAUCUAACAGGGGGGAUGUCUGAACAGCCACCUGGAGGUAAACACAGAUUUCCUCCAAACAACCUAGAGUCCUGCACACUGGGUGCUGGACACCUGAGCACUGAGGCUUCGACAAACAGGGCAUAGGAAGGGAGAGGGAGAUGAAAAAACAAAACUAAAUCUGAACAGUGAAAGGAAAGUAUCCAAGCAGGUUUUAUUCCCCUGGAUGUAACUGUGUCAGCUCUCUACUUCCAGUCUGAUCCCUCAUUCCACAUCUCUGGGUCCAGGCUAGUGGGACUACAGACAAGACAGAGGAAUUUUUUUUUUUUUUUUAACCUGCUCCUCAGUCAACUGAAAGCAGUUUGAGAUAGGAAUCAUGUCUGGUUUAGGUUUCCAUGUUGUAGACAACUCUGUAAGUUUCCAGAAUGAAUGCUGGAGCCUAGGGAUUCCUGAACAUGCACAACAGUUUAAGAGAAACUCGGUGAUCCGCUGAGCAAGAGUCCUGCCAGCAUGAUUACUUGACUCAAGACCUAAUUUUAGGGGGAACUUUGGUCCAGGGGAUAGGACUCUGCUCCCAGUGCCGGGGGCCUGAGUUUGAUCCUUGAUCAGGGAACUAGAUCUCACAAGCCGAAAUUAAGACCCGGCACAGCCAAAAGCAAAAACAAAACAGAACAGCUCAGCAAACAGCUGUGCAUUAAAAAAAACACGCUAAUUUUAGAGAAACAGGUCAUUUUGACUGUUGAGAAAUUCUAUGUCCAUUAACAGGUAUCAUUUGAAGAAGAUUGCUCUUGUGUUCAACUGACUUGGUCAUUGCCAUUUAGAAACGUGUAUUUUUAUUGGAAGAUAAUUGGAAAGCUACAGGUAAAAGGAUGACACUAGAACCCUUCCCAACGCCGAACACAAAAUAAACUCAAAAUGGAUUAACAACUUAAAUGAAGUCCAGAAUCCAAAAAACUCUUAGAGGAAAACAUAGGCAGUAAACUCUUUGACAUACAUCACAGCAUGAUCCUCUUUGACCCACCUCCUAGAGUAUUGGAAAUAAAAACAAAAAUAAACAAAGCAGACUUAAUUCAACUAGAAGUCACAGCAUUGUUCCUGGGUGACAGCACUGCCCUGAGAGCCCGUGUCAGGCCACCUCCCAGCUGCCUGCAGCCGCAGCGUUGCCACGCCUUAGAAUGGUUUACGUCAGCAAAGAACAAUGUUUUGACUUCUCACCAUAAUAGAGACUUACUUUGCAUAAGGAAAUCCAACCCUAGAGAAAACAAGCUAUGAAAUGACCACUUAAAUCUUCUUCUGGGUUCACUUUACUGGCACAAAUAAUUGCACAGGAAACCAGACCAAUGGGCUGACAGACACGGAGCAAACAGUUCUUUCCACAGAGAUUCCUGAAUCCUUAAUAAGACAAACAACAGAAGACAGAGGAACACCACGCACACGAGUCUCUGGAAUGAAGAGUGCCUGGCUAAUAUAGUAAGCAUCUAAACUUGACAUCCUAAAAAAAAUGCUUAGUUGAGUUAAAACCACUAUGUGACAAGAAGUGAAAUGAUAGUGAUGGUGUUUCAAGAACCAAGGCCCUAAUUAAGCUCACCUGUCCCUCAUGAGGCUAAAGGGGUAAGGUUGCCGUCAUCCAAGGAUGGUCCAACUCCCCCCAACUCUCACCCACAACCCCUGCCUUGCGCUUAUCUCUCUCUCUCUCUUUUUUCAACAUUCCUCCUCUCUGCUACAGAUGUCCACAAUUUUUAGGUAUUUCAGGAUCUCCGUUCUCCUAUUCUGUCUCAAUCCCACAAUGAGACAGCUGCACUAUUUUUGGUAAACCCCUCGUGCACUGGUGCCUGGAAGCUGCCUCCAUGAAGUAAGCUGGGCAAUGUCAGUGCUCAUCUCAUCUGUUUUCCUUAUCUCUGUGCUACCUGAUGUUCAAGGUCCAAAAAUAGUUUUCCAAUUGGCAGAUCAACUCUACCGUUAUCAGUGAAAAAGAAGUCACAUAUUUUACUUUUAUUGUGUUUUACAAAGCUGUCAUUCCAUGAUAAAUCAGGAUAAUAACCUUAUCACUUAACUACACAUUAUUUGACAUCUGCCUUAGAUAAAAUUUUCUACACGGCAUGUUGACAGAGUCAACAUGAAUAUAACUACUUCACAGAAAUGACUUGGGUUGAGGAGGAAGCACUUUCCAUUCAGGGGGAUCCUUCUCUGACCCAUGGGAAUCUUGGAGACACAUACAAGAAAGAAACCUCUGAUUAUUCCAUCUAGAAAUUGUAACUGGGGAUUCUUGAGAAGCUAGAGAUACCUGUACCAUGCAAAAAAAUUAUGGAAGUAAUAAUAGACUAUUUCCCUAAGCACGCUUAUGUUUAGGACUCUCUUCUUAGGGUCGUGUCCCAUUCUCCUGUAUGUACCCCACAAACUAUUAUCAGGAGGAAUAGGUCAGACCGCGCUGUGGUGCAAUUUUCAUGAUCACCACCAGAGGGCGGGGCUUCCUUCAGAUGGGGUUCCUCAUUGUAUUCAGGAGCUGGUUUCACUUGCCUGCUUUGUAGCCACAAGACAGAAUAUUGCUGCAGUACAGAAAGGGGCUCUCAGUUUCUGAGUGACGAGCUUCUGUAAAAUCCAGAUGAAGACUAGAUUUGUUAGACUGAUGUAUUCCCGGGAACAAGGAUCGUUUUCUUUUGCGAACAUGCAUUCUGCCACUCACUCAGUUCUUCUGGUCAUCUUAAUAUUCAGAAGGACCAAUGGUGACUCAGUGCACCAGACAGAAGGCCCAGUGACUGUCUCAGAGGGGGCUCUCAUGACCCUGAACUGCACUUACCAGACUGCUAGUUCGGUUCCCUAUCUUUUCUGGUACAUCCAGCAUCUCAACAAAGCUCCUCAACUCCUCCUGAAGGGCUUAACUGCAGACAAGAAGGUAGAGCAUGAAGGUUUUCAGGCCACUCUUGUUAAGCGUGACAGCUCCUUCCACCUGCAGAAACAGGCAGUGCAAGCAUCAGACUCGGCUGUGUACUACUGUGCUCUGAGUGACACAGUGAGAGAGGGCUGCGGGGGAGCUGAGCACAAACCCAGAGUGCAGAUGGGGCUCUGGAUGUGGACGGCCCUGGAAGGGGUGUUGUUUCUCUCUCCAGAGGUACUGUCAAA